GUCAGGAUCAUUUCUUUCUCUCCUCAAGCAAGAUACAUCAGAGGCACUUUACUGACAAUGGUUUUAGAAGCAAUUGCUUCUCCCCAAGGCCAUUUUUACCCAGACCAAGCCUAAAUAAGAUGUUCUGGGUUGGGCAGACUGGUCCUAAGGCCCUUCAGUGUUCUGUCAAGCCAGGGGAAGGCAUAACACAUCUUCUGGGGAAAUAUCACGGCCACAUGGCCCAGGCAUCUCAGCUGAAAACCCGCAUCAGCUGAGAGAGACCUCAGCUCUCCAGAAGAACUAGAGCAAAACCCUUAUCAGCCAAGAGCGCCAGCAGAGACAAACCCAGGACUCGGGUGCAAGUAGGUCCAGAAGUUAUAAAUUAAAGUGUUGCUGCUGCUAAGUCGCUUCAGUCGUGUCCGACUCUGUGCGACCCCAUAGACGGCAGCCCACCAGGCUCCACCGUCCCUGGGAUUCUCCAGGCAAGAACAUUGGAAAGCAGUGCAUGAGAGGACCAGUUUUUCCAACAUCUUUGCCAAUACUUAAUUUAUCAAUCUUCAUAAUGCUUGCCAGUGAACAGGGAAAUUGAAACUAGAGAAAGCGACUUCUCCAAGGUUAUACUGCUAAUCCCCUACAAGUCCAGGAUUACAACUUCCAUCACCUGACUUCCAGUCCAUUCCAUUUCCAGAGCCAUUCUGUGGGCAAGGGCCUCCAGGACUCCACUCCAGCUCUGUGACUGCAUCCUUCUCACUGGUCAGCGUAUUCCCAAGCCGUUAUUUAAUGUCCAGUGAUGGACCAGCCUGAUGCAGAUGGUGGAGAUGCAGUAGAGGCCUGGAAGUGCUGCAGUGUUGACCUUCAAGGUUCAGAGAAAUCUGUUUAGGACACAGUGAAGUAGACAGCUGUAAUCCUGGCAACAGUGGAAUUGCUAGGGUUUCGUUGUGCUGGAGGGGUGGGCUGGGGAGAUGGUUUCAGGUCUUUAUAAUUUCAAAGGACAAGGAGCUGGGGGACUUUCUGUUUCAUGUCUGCUCCUUCCUGCUUCAGGAAUGCUUAUGGUCUUCCCAUCUUGACCAGUCUUUAGACUGGGCUCCUGGGCCUGCUUAUGGGCAAAUGCAGACAGUCGCCAAGUUCAAAGAAGACAACUUGUUCCUGUGAGCUUAUCUGAAGCCAGGCUGUAUGGAACUCAGAGUGCAUGUCCCAUGCAAACAAUGCCCUAAACAGUGCUGAGUGCCCAGCCGGCCCACUGAAUACGCCCUGGAAGUCCACCUAGUUCUAGGGACCCACCACCCUGUUCCCACGGGCAAACACUUCUCAUUUGGUGGGCAGUGUGGAGGUGGGCUAACCUGAGUCCAUCAGUGUUCCUUCAGCACACACUGAUGAGCAACUACUCUGUUCCUCAUUGGGGAAAAACACAGCGAGGUUGCCUCUACCUCAAUGGCCUCAGUCAAGUGCAAAACUCAGGACAGCUGCCGGAUACUUAUACCCGAGACCAAAAGUGGUCCCAUUAGUAAUGUGUGUUGGGCGCAAAGGGGAUUUCAAGGUGGGGAUGGGAUGAGGGGUGGUCACAGUCAAGUGGGGUAGAAGCAGGGAACUGAGGCGAGAGGGCGCAGCGGGACUUGGCAGAGGGCCGAAAGGCCAGGGUGGGGUCAGCAUUCCAGGCCAAGGAUCAGUACAAGGGAAGGCAGGACAGGCUUUUUCAUGAGGCUGUAGGAGGACAGGCCAAGGCAGGCAUGGGGCUGGAGAGGCCCUGAGAUGGGUGAGGGGGUCUUUGUCAGAAGUCAGGCAGCAGUGGGCCAGGGACAUGAACACCAAGAGCCUCACAGGACACCCCAUGUUCCUGAAGCCUGGAUGCCCCAAGGCAGGAAGAGGGGGAAUUCUACAGACAACUUCUUUUUACAACUUGCCCAGCUCCUCUCCCAGAUUUCUCCUCUUUCAUGGGCCCAGUGACUGUGGGGAGCGGGGGGCAGGGGGAGGUGUGGAGGCACCUGUGUCCCGUGGGAAAAGUGGAUGUGGGUUCAAGAGAGAGAAUCUCCUUCCCCAGCACUGGGGAGAGGAGGGCUGUGUCUCCGUCGGCUCCUCAGACGGCCUUCCUGCCUCAGAGAGAGGACGCCUCCCGUCCGAGGGCAGAUCCUCAUAUCAAUGGAGUCACGCCACUGAGGUUGUUCAGACAACUCCCUGAUACACCCCUCUGCUCCUGGCAGAACUCUUUCUGGAGCAGCUAAACAGUGUAGGUAACGUUCUGUGCUUUCCCAGGGAAGUCGGAAUUCAGAGCCAGCCAGCCAAGUUCUUGUGGGUUCAUUCAUCUGGACACGAAAUGGGAGGGGCAGAAAGAAGUCUCC
ensembl:lncRNA